AAUUCCUUAGAUAUUCAAAUCAGAAAUUCAGCCAUUAUUUUAGAAAUGAUAUUAGUGGUGUUGCUUACUGUAUUAAUUUGCUAUGUUGACAAAUAUCUAGGCUGAAGAACUUCGAGUACAAGAACCGAUACAACUUUGCUCUUUCAGAAAAGGAUAUCUCUGCAUAAAUGAAUGAUAUUAAAUCAAAAUUGUUCGUUUUAAAAAACCUAUAUUAUGUUUGUUCGCAGUCCAUGUACUACGUUAAAAAAUCACUGUAAACUUUCUAGAUAUCAUUAUUUAGAGAAGAGCAGAAAGGUAAAGUAUUGCAAAGUGUGUAACCAGAAACUGUAGGUAGACAGUAAACUUGAUUUU